rnacentral:tRNA from 1 species
AGGAUCUUAAGUUAAUGAAACUAUUGGCCUUCAAAGUCAAAAAUAAUUCUAUUAGAUCUUA